AUUGAACGCUGGCGGCAUGCCUUACACAUGCAAGUCGAACGGUAACAGGUCUUCGGAUGCUGACGAGUGGCGAACGGGUGAGUAAUACAUCGGAACGUGCCCAGACGUGGGGGAUAACGAGGCGAAAGCUUUGCUAAUACCGCAUACGAUCUAAGGAUGAAAGCAGGGGACCGCAAGGCCUUGCGCGUUUGGAGCGGCCGAUGGCAGAUUAGGUAGUUGGUGGGAUAAAAGCUUACCAAGCCGACGAUCUGUAGCUGGCCUGAGAGGACGACCAGCCACACUGGGACUGAGACACGGCCCAGACUCCUACGGGAGGCAGCAGUGGGGAAUUUUGGACAAUGGGCGAAAGCCUGAUCCAGCAAUGCCGCGUGCAGGAUGAAGGCCUUCGGGUUGUAAACUGCUUUUGUACGGAACGAAAAGGCUCUGGCUAAUACCUGGGGCACAUGACGGUACCGUAAGAAUAAGCACCGGCUAACUACGUG
rnacentral:rRNA from 1 species